rnacentral:piRNA from 1 species
CUGUUAGUGAUGAUGUAUAAAGC